CGCGACGAUGCGGGAGAGAUCACAACGAAGGCCUCUAGCUUUCGUUGUGGCGCCGACGGAGCAACCGCCCCGGAAACUCUCAGGCAAAAGGACUGUAUCGUCAGG
rfam:Bradyrhizobium sp. LTSP849 NODE_10, whole genome shotgun sequence.